rnacentral:rRNA from 1 species
UGGGGAAUAUUGCACAAUGGGCGCAAGCCUGAUGCAGCCAUGCCGCGUGUAUGAAGAAGGCCUUCGGGUUGUAAAGUACUUUCAGCGGGGAGGAAGGGAGUAAAGUUAAUACCUUUGCUCAUUGACGUUACCCGCAGAAGAAGCACCGGCUAACUCCGUGCCAGCAGCCGCGGUAAUACGGAGGGUGCAAGCGUUAAUCGGAAUUACUGGGCGUAAAGCGCACGCAGGCGGUUUGUUAAGUCAGAUGUGAAAUCCCCGGGCUCAACCUGGGAACUGCAUCUGAUACUGGCAAGCUUGAGUCUCGUAGAGGGGGGUAGAAUGCCAGGUGUAGCGGUGAAAUGCGUAGAGAUCUGGAGGAAUACCGGUGGCGAAGGCGGCCCCCUGGACGAAGACUGACGCUCAGGUGCGAAAGUGUGGGGAGCAAACAGG